GUAAUGUUCUGCUGGGAAAAGCUUGGUUCGUGGAAUUCAUGUGGAUGUUAUUUUGCAUGUACCGCCUACCUAGAGAUUGUUGCAGACCACAUACACCCCUUCAUGGCAAUGGUAUUUUCUUAUUGAAGUGGAGUCUUUCACCCUGCCACACUGCAAAAAGUGUUCAGGAAUGGUUUGAGGAAGAUGACAAAGAGUUAAAGGUGUUGCCUUGUCCUCCAAAUUCCCCAAAUCUCAAUCUGAGGGAUGUGCUGGAACAACAUCUCAUAAAAUUGUCCUACCUUGUAACUUAAAUUACUUAAAGGCAUCAUCUCACCAUGUCUCUCCUCUUCAGCUAUAUAGACCAUGCCACUACUGCAAUGACGGCAAUGAGCUUCUGUUAGCUCUCCUGAGCUAACGUUAGUAGUGCAGGACUAGCUCAUUAGCUGAGAGCAUCAGUUAACCCCAGGAAAUACCCCAGAAAUAAGAUGUCAAACCUUUAGUAAAUGGUUUAACUUUGUGCAUUGGGUGGAACCAACACAUUUCUGUCCCCAUAACCACUACAGCAUGCUAUAGUGGUCAUAGUGCUUGGAAUGUUACUUUAAUAAAGAUUGCAGGUGUUUGCUCAUACCCCUUUAUCAGCUGUCGAAGUGCAUCUCCCUUAGUCCUCUGCUAGCCUUGUG